UAUCAUUCAUAUUAAUCCAAUUCGCAGCAACAAUAUUAGUAAUCUCUAUCACAUUUUAUCAAAUUUAAGUAAUCAUUAUAUUGUUUAAACAUACAUAAACAAAAAAUGCCUAACUCCUCAUCUUUAUUUCUAUCUUCAUCUCUUAUCUUUCUUGUUCAAGCUAAACAUUUCCCUAUUAUGUAUAGGCAAAGUUGUUUCUGGGUGUCAUAUUAAUCCAAUUUACGCUGACAAUGUUAGUAAUCUCUAUCAGAUUUAUGAAAUUAAAGUAAUCCUCCUAUUAUUUAAACUUACAUAAAACAAAAAAACAUCUGUAAACUUCUAAUCCUUCUAUUAUUUUUAUUCAUUCUAUAAAAAUUUAUAUGCUAAUAUUUCCCCUAUCUAAUUUCAUUUCUGCCUCUUUCACCUUACAAUCAGGCUACUUUAAUAUUUAAAGGGCAAUUCUUUCUAUCCAUCUUCUCUUUUUAGCGCUUCAAUUCUGAUCCAUUUCUUAAUUUGCCUCCCACACUCCUCAUCUUUGUCUCAGCCUUCCUCCCAGUACAGGGUGAAGUUUUCUAUGGGGGUGCGACUAGACCAAGGGUCUCCAACCUUGACAACUUUAAGACCUGUGGACUUCAACUCCCAGAAUACCAAAGCCCCAUCCUGACAUCUGAAAUCUCAAAGGAGGGGCAAGUUUGCUCCAGAAAGUUGCCAAGGCUCAGUUCCAAUAACUUUGGAAAGAGUUCAAUAAUUUUUCAGUCUUGGCCCGAUCUUUACAACAAACCAGGUAGGUAGACCUAUUCUGCAAGCCCAGUGCUUUGGUUAGUUUCAGCUCUUCAGGUCCCAGUAGAGGUGAUCCAUUUUUCCAGUGCAUUUGACACCAGUGUGCAAUGUUAUGUGCUAGCGUGUUAACAACACAAUUAGCAGCCGGUCCAUAUCCUCACCAUUUUUUUAAAACAGUGGUCAACUGCUUCCUGCAAGCUUGCCUAUCAUUUCCGCAAAUGCUCAGGAGUUUUUGCAGACUGAGUAGCGGGGACCUACUCUAAAGUUGAAGAAAAUCAAAAAAAAAAAUCACAGUCCCACUUUUUAAAUCGGUCCGUUAUAGAACAACACAGCAUCCUGGAGAACCUACUGUCUAGGUCUGUAAAUGGAAAUGUCCCCACAUUUGAGAACUGUGCUCCAUGUAUGGUGAGGGACACCACGCAUUGUGGGAAGAGACCCUUUGAGAGACGGUCACUUCCCAACCACUAAACCGUUAAGUCGUAUAUCCCAUUUCUGCUCAACCCAAUUGCUGGUUCCCAAAUGAGGGUGUCAAUCUCAGCAACCCACAAAACCUUUUCAAAGCAGCAGAAGCCCCGAAGAAUAUGUCCCUCUUCAGAAACUCUGAUUUUUUUUGAGAUGAAUUCUUCCCCCAUUUAGGGGAAAACAAUAAUAAAUAAACCCUACCCCACGGGGGCAGCUGUGAUGGGUCCUUUCGGAAUAAUUACAAUUACAUGUAAUCAUUUAACUUCAACAUACAGGUAGUCGUUGACUUACGACCACAAAUUGAGGCCAAAAUUUAUGUUCUUAAGUGAGACAUUUGUUGUUUUGCCGUGUUUUUACGACUUCUUGCCACAUCUGUUAAGUGAAUCACUGCACUGUUGCAGAGUCGAAGUCUACCUGUACUUCCCUGCCUGGGAUUGUAACCAGCUUCUCUGAACAGACCCAACUUGGGCUCAGGGUUCCAGUGCCGUGGGAAUCGGCCCAUCACAUAUCAGUGGCCAUGAAGCGAGCCCUGGGGUUGGGCCAACUUGGGUGCAGCAGGUCUCGGGAAGGCGGUCUCCCUCUCGCAAUUUGGGCUACUCCUUCAGUUUUGCUUGUGAUUACAGGUUUUGAAGCCAUGAUGUUCUUCUGCCUGGAUCUUGUUUGCCUUCAAUCUUUCCCUGGAGGAUUAAGUGAAGGAUGCUGUAUUUUUCCAGGUGUCGCAUCACAGGUCCGAAAUAUUCUAACUUUCGCUUUUUAACGGCUUUGAUGAUCUCCCUUGGCUUUCCCAGGCGGCUUAUCACAUCCUCCUUUCUGAUUUGGUCAACCCGGUUUAUACGUAACAGCCGUCUGUCAAUCCACAUUUCAAAUGCUCUUCAAGUGGUUUUCUGUCCGAGACCAACUCUCCACUCCGUAGAGCAGGAUAGAAAAGAAGUAACACCAGACAAGCCUGGUUUUUAGUCAGACUUACAAUGGCACUGAAAAAAAUGUGACUUGGGACCAUUUUUCACACUUUAUGACCAUUGUUCACACAACCGUUUUAACAGCAUCCCUUCGGUCACGUGAUCAAAACUUCAGACUGCCUGAGAACGGACUCACAUUUAUGACCAUUGCAGUCUCCGGUGUGUGUGUAUGUGUGUCUCACAUAAUCCCCUUUUGCGACUUUCUAACAAAAUCAAAAACGGGGAAGCCAGAUUCGCUUAAUGCCCGCCUUCCUAACUUAGCUAUUCCUUUAACGACUGGGACAAGAAAGAUCAUCAAAUGGAACGAAACUCCCUUAACGAACACCUUAGAGUAGUGGCCGAAAUUGUGGAAACCUUUUGGGGAAAGUGUAUUUUUGAGGUUUGAUGUCUGAUAACAACACUUUUUGGGGGAGUUUCAAGAUAAUCCUAUUCCACUGCUGGAAUGGAAAUGCCUGGGAAAAGCCCAGCACUUUUUAACCCAAUUGAAAACCUAUGGAGCCGACUCAAGGAACUGGUUAGUCAGAAGUGACCCAGCGAUAAAACCCAGUUAAUAGAAGCCAUCCUUCAAUCUUGGUUUCACAUUAGAACAGCUGCAGAACUCAAAAACUUGGCUCGCUCUAUGGGAAGACUUGUAAUGACUUGUAAGGCCGUCAUUCAUGCUAAAGGUUACCCAACGAAGGAUUAACUGACAUGGGGAUCAUUUUUUGUAUAUCCCACUUUUUUUCUACGGGUUUCACUUUUCUUCUUUAUACUGUCACUGCUAUUCUAAUAGCAAAUCCUUCAGAAUGUAAUGUUAUUCCAUUACAUUCUUGAUUCAAUGAUUUUUUUCCAUUGAUACAUAAUUUUAUGGUACUGCUCCCCCCCCCAAAAAAAGUGGUGUUAUUAGAAUAGAAUGCAGAAUAGCAUAGCGGCUUUCGAUACCAUCGACCAUGGUAUCCUGCUGCACCGGUUGGAGGGAUUGGGAAUGGGAGGCACCGUUUAUCGGUGGUUCUCCUCCUAUCUCUCCGCAGACGGUGUUGACGGGGGCAGAGGUCGACCGCGAGGCGCCUCACUUGUGGGGUGCCUCGGGUCGAUUCUAUUGCCCCUCCUGUUCAACAUCUACAUGAAGCCGCUGGGUGAGGUCAUCAGUGGUUUUGGGGUGAGUUAUCAUCUGUACGCUGACGAUACGCAGCUGUACUUUUCCACCCCGGACCACCCCAACGAAACUGUCGAAGUGCUGUCCCGGUGCCUGGAAGCCGUACGGGUCUGGAUGGGGAGAAACAGACUCAAGCUCAAUCCCUCCAAGACGGAGUGGCUGCAGAUGCCGGCACCCCGGUACAGUCAGCUGCAGCCGCAGCUGGCUGUGGGGGGCGAGUUAUUGGCCCCAACGGAGAGGGUGCGCAACUUGGGCGUCCUCCUGGAUGGAUGGCUGUCGUUUGACGAUCAUUUGGCGGCCGUCUCCAAGAGGGCCUUCCACCAAGUACGCUUGGUGCGCCAGUUGCGCCCCUUCCUUGACCGGGAUGCCUUAUGCACGGUCACUCAUGCCCUCGUAACUUCCCGCCUGGAUUAUUGCAAUGCUCUCUACAUGGGGCUGCCCUUGAAGUACACCCGGAGGCUGCAGUUAGUCCAGAAUGCAGCUGCGCGGGUAAUAGUGGGAGCAACUCGUUGCUCCCAUGUAACACCACUCCUGCGCAGUCUGCACUGGCUUCCUGUGGUCUUCCGGGUGCGCUUUAAGAUUUUGGUUACCACCUUUAAAGCGCUCCAUGGCUUAGGACCCGGGUACUUACGGGACCGCCUGCUGUUACCUUAUGCCUCCCACCGACCCGUACGCUCACACAGAGAGGGCCUUCUCCGGGUGCCGUCCGCCAAACAAUGUCGGCUGGCGGCCCCCAGGGGUAGGGCCUUCUCUGUCGGAGCUCCUACACUUUGGAACGAACUUCCCCCUGGUUUACGCCAAGUGCCUGAUCUUCGGACCUUUCGGCGUGAGCUGAAAACGCACCUAUUUAUUCAAGCGGGACUGGCCUAAAAUUUUAUUGGGUUAAAAUUUUAUUGGGUUAUUUAUAUUUUAAUAUUUUAAUUCGUUUUAAAUCUGGCCACUUUAUGUUUGUUUUAAUUUCUUUUAAUAUUGAUACUGUGAUUUUUUACUUGGCUGUACACCGCCCUGAGUCCUUCGGGAGAAGGGCGGUAUAAAAAUUGAAUAAAAUAAAUAAAUAAAUAAAUAAAUAGCAUAGAGAAUAGAAUAGAAUAGAAUAGAAUAGAAUUUUUUAUUGGCCAAGUGUGAUUGGACACACAAGGAAUUUGUCUUUGGUACAUAUGCUCUGUGUUAUUAGCUAACUUAUAGAAAAUACACUUUUCCCAAAAGGUUUCCACAAUUUUGGCCACUGCUGUACUUAGCAACAUACUUUGUGUGUGUGUGUGUGUGUGUGUUUGUGCCCCGCUCCAUGGCGGUCGUAAGUCGAGGACUACCCGUCCCGGGGCGUCUUUUUCGCGCGCCCCCCCUUUCCCUUUUUUUUUUCCAGCCCGCUGACGCGCGUCUCUCCGAACGUGGGAAGCCACCGAGGCGGGGCGGGGCGGCGCCUCGGCCUCCCUUCCUUCCUUCCUUCCCUCCCUCCCUACUUUGGGGCCGCGGCGGCUCCUCCUCCUCGCGGCGGGGCGAGCGAACGUGGCAGCCGGCUGAGGCGGCCCCUCCAUUUUGCACCGGGCGCCGAGCCGGGAGGCUGAGGACAAAUUUUGAAGCACAAUGGAACGUGUCAUUCUGUGAACAGGAAAACCAACAGGAGGGCAGG